rnacentral:rRNA from 1 species
UACGUAGGGUGCAAGCGUUGUCCGGAAUUACUGGGCGUAAAGCGCGUGUAGGCGGCUAAGUAAGUCGGGCGUGAAAUCCCACGGCUCAACCGUGGAAGUGCACUCGAAACUGCGUAGCUAGAGUCCUGGAGAGGAAGGUGGAAUGCUUGGUGUAGAGGUGAAAUUCGUAGAUAUCAAGCGGAACACCGGUGGCGAAGGCGGCCUUCUGGACAGUGACUGACGCUGA